CUUCUUAGCAUACUGCAUUUUUAGGGCUCUUGAAAACACAGAUUCUUUCCUGAAAGAUUGCUCCCUGUAGCUGCUGAGGAAUGAUGACAAUAAAAGGCCGAAUUGCAGUGUGUCCGGCAGCAGUUUGCUCUCUGUGUGGUGCACGAUGACAAAACCUCCUGAAGCGAAACCACCAGUCUGACCUCAGCAGCAUCAGGACUGGAGCGUCCUGGCUUGGGAAGCUUCCAGAAAGCAUACCCAAAGAGAGCCCAAGUAUUUUUAAUAAAAACACUCAGUGACCCUUGGACAACACUGGGGCUUAAAGUAGUAAAUACCUCUCUGUAUACUUUAGAAUGUACAUAAAAACAGUAAUAGACCUUCAAGAACAGGUGUGUUCCCACUGCAAUGAAAUUCCCUGGUGAUCUGAAGAUAUUAAAGCUUCAAGCUGAAACUAGAAAAUCCAGAGAAUUCAGAAUGUCUUUUUUGACAAUUGAACUCAUCUGAUUAUACUUAAAAAUCGAUUGCAGUUAUUGAAUCCCAGGAUUAUAAUUAAUUUUAUUUUAUUUCAGGUAAACUUUCCUCUACUUUUAAACAUGUUAAAUGAAGAACCUUUUUCUGGUGUAAAUGUAAUCUUGACUUUUGUUUUUUAUAAAAUGUUCUCUAACUGUAA